rnacentral:rRNA from 1 species
AGCGAACGCUGGCGGCAGGCUUAACACAUGCCAGUCGAGCGGGCAUCCUUGUGGUGUCAGCGGCAGACGGGUGAGUAACGCGUGGGAACGUGCCCUUCGGUUCGGAAUAACUCAGGGAAACUUGAGCUAAUACCGGAUACGUGCGAGAGCAGAAAGGUUUAUCUGCUGAAGGAUCGGCCCGCGUCUGAUUAGCUAGUUGGUGAGGUUACGGCUCACCAAGGCGACGAUCAGUAGCUGGUCUGAGAGGAUGAUCAGCCACACUGGGACUGAGACACGGCCCAGACUCCUACGGGAGGCAGCAGUGGGGAAUAUUGGACAAUGGGGGCAACCCUGAUCCAGCCAUGCCGCGUGAGUGAUGACGGCCUUAGGGUUGUAAAGCUCUUUUCUCCGGGACGAUAAUGACGGUACCGGAGGAAUAAGCCCCGGCUAACUUCGUG